GACGAACGCUGGCGGCGUGCUUAACACAUGCAAGUCGAACGAAGUGGCGAACGGGUGAGUAACGCGUAAUCAACCUGCCCUUCAGAGGGGGACAACAGUUGGAAACGACUGCUAAUACCGCAUACUGAAGGAGGGGAUUGCGUCUGAUUAGCUAGUUGGAGGGGUAACGGCCCACCAAGGCGAUGAUCAGUAGCCGGUCUGAGAGGAUGAACGGCCACAUUGGGACUGAGACACGGCCCAGACUCCUACGGGAGGCAGCAGUGGGGAAUCUUCCGCAAUGGACGAAAGUCUGACGGAGCAACGCCGCGUGAGUGAAGAAGUAUUUCGGUAUGUAAAGCUCUAUCAGCAGGGAAGCAGUACCUGAAUAAGAAGCCCCGGCUAACUACGUGCCAGCAGCCGCGGUAAUAC
rnacentral:rRNA from 1 species